rnacentral:rRNA from 1 species
CCCUUAGAUGUCCUGGGCCGCACGCGCGCUACACUGAUGCAUUCAACGAGUUUCACCUUGGCCGAGAGGCCUGGGCAAUCUUUUAAACCUGCAUCGUGAUAGGGACAGAUUAUUGCAAUUAUUAAUCUUGAACGAGGAAUUCCUAGUAAACGCAAAUCAUCAAUUUGCAUUGAUUACGUCCCUGCCCUUUGUACACACCGCCCGUCGCACCUACCGAUUGAAUGGUCCGGUGAAGCCUCGGGAUUGUGGCCAGUUCACUUUAUUGGGAGUUGGCUGUGAGAACUUGUCUAAACCUUAUCAUUUAGAGGAAGGUGAAGUCGUAACA